rnacentral:rRNA from 1 species
AGUGAACGCUGGCGGUAGGCCUAACACAUGCAAGUCGAACGGCAGCACAUUAAUCGCUUGCUCGUACGGGUGGUGACUGGUGGACGGGUGAGGUAUACAUCGGAAUCUCCUUUUUCGUGGGGUAUUACGUAGGCAUACUUUCGCUAAUACCGCAUACGACCCACGGGUGAAAGCAGGGGAUCUUCGUACCUUGCGUGAUUGAAUGAUCCGGUGUCGGAUUAGCUAGGUGGCGGGGUAAAGGCCCACCAAGGCGACGCUCAGUAGCUGAUCUGAGAGGAUGAUAGGACACGCUGGAACUGAGACACGGUCCAGACUCCGACGGGAGGCAGCAGUAGGGAAUAUUGGGCAAUGGGAGCAAGCAUGAUCCAGCAAUGCCGCGUGGGUGAAGAAGGCAUUCGGGUUGUAAAGCACUAUUGUUAGGGAAGAAAAGCAGCAGGUUAAGACGACGAAGUAAUGACGGUACCCAAAGAAUAAGCACCGGCUAACUUCGUG